rnacentral:rRNA from 1 species
GACGAACGCUGGCGGCGUGCCUAAUACAUGCAAGUAGAACGCACAGUUUAUACCGUAGCUUGCUACACCAUAAACUGUGAGUUGCGAACGGGUGAGUAACGCGUAGGUAACCUGCCUGGUAGCGGGGGAUAGCUAUUGGAAACGAUAGCUAAUACCGCAUAAUAUUGAUUAUUGCAUGAUAAUUGAUUGAAAGAUGCUAUUGCAUCACUACCAGAUGGACCUGCGUUGUAUUAGCUAGUAGGUGAGGUAACGGCUCACCUAGGCGACGAUACAUAGCCGACCUGAGAGGGUGAUCGGCCACACUGGGACUGAGACACGGCCCAGACUCCUACGGGAGGCAGCAGUAGGGAAUCUUCGGCAAUGGACGAAAGUCUGACCGAGCAACGCCGCGUGAGUGAAGAAGGUUUUCGGAUCGUAAAGCUCUGUUGUAAGAGAAGAACGGGUGUGAGAGUGGAAAGUUCACACUGUGACGGUAUCUUACCAGAAAGGGACGGCUAACUACGUG